ACUGCUCCGAACGCUACAGCUGGCUCUACUGCAGCUACCAAUGCCACACAAGCUCCAACUACUGCUCCGAACGCUACAGCUGGCUCUACUGCAGCUACCAAUGCCACACAAGCUCCAACUACUGCUCCGAAUGCUACAGCUGGCUCUACUGCAGCUACCAAUGCCACAGAAGCUCCAACUACUGCUCCGAACGCUACAGCUGGCUCUACUGCAGCUACCAAUGUCACACAAGCUCCAACUACUGCUCCGAACGCUACAGCUGGCUCUACUGCAGCUACCAAUGUCACACAAGCUCCAACUACUGCUCCGAACGCUACAGCUGGCUCUACUGCAGUUACUGCAGUCACAACUGUUGGCACUUUAGCUACCACCACAACCACAACUACAGCAGCACCACAAGAAGAGCCAAAGAUAAGCUUGGGAUUUUCAUUGCAGGAGACCUUUACACCAGAACUUACAGACAAGUCUUCACCAGCGUUCAAAGCCUUGGAAACCAAAGUAACCGAGUCGCUCAACCAAGUCUAUAGUGACCAAUUUGGAGAUGCCUUCAAUCGAAGUGUCAUCAAAAGCUUCAGGUCAGGGUCCGUUGUGGUAGAUGCUGAGCUGAUAUUCAACA